rnacentral:rRNA from 1 species
CCUACGGGUGGCAGCAGUGGGGGAUAUUGCACAAUGGGCGAAACCCUGAUGCAGCAACGCCGCGUGUGGGAAGACGGUUUUCGGAUUGUAAACCACUGUUCUUGGUGAAGAUAAUGACGGUAACCAAGGAGAAAGCUCUGGCUAACGCCGUGCCAGCAGCCGCGGUCAUACGUAGGGAGCACGCGUUGUCCGGGUUUUCGGGGUGUAAAGGGUGCGUAGGCGGGCUUGCAAGUGAGGCGUGAAAACGACGGGCUCAAACUGGGGACUGCGUUUGAAACUGUGGGGCUUGAGUGAAGUAGAGGUAGGCGGAAUGCGCGGUGUAGCGGUGAAAGGCGUAGAUAUCGGGAGGAACACCGGUGGCGAAGGCGGCCUACUGGGCUUUGACUGACGCUGAGGCACGAAAGCAUGGGUAGCAAACAGGAUUAGAUACCCUGGUAGUC